UGAGUUUUAUUAAAUGUUUUUCAAGACCAUGUCACGACACUUUAUUUAGAAAAGACUCUAAAAUGUUAACUGAUGUUUAUUGUCGUCAUCUAAGCAUCUAUUCAAGUGUAUUGUCUAUAUUGUGUUUGUGGUGCUAACUGCCCCAUUCAGUUUCAGUCUCCCCUGAACACAUUCACACCUCUCCGGCCUGCUCAUGGCUCUAAUUAUUCUUUUCUUUUGUCUAUACAAUUACUGAUGUUCUAUUCAAGAUGAUUUAAUCCCUCAUUUCUUUCAGAAAACUUCUCACUUCACCUUCUUUGAAACUGUAUCUAAUGCCCUUCUUGAAAAAAUAAAUAAAUAAAUAAAUCAGUGAGCUGUACAAUUCAAAAUUAUUUAUUUGCAUUAGCUCAGAACAGGUGCAUCUCUGGGCUCGUUACCGUGUUAGCUUAGCACACCAACAAAACACGACAAUGUAUAAGAUUAAAACCACGUUUUUGUUACAAACGUAUAAGUCGAGUGUUUUACAUAACCUUCUGUGAUGUGAUGUGGCUUCGGAUCAAAUAUCAGACAGAAAAUAUAUUAUUUUAGGCUAUUCUGCACAAUGAGAAAAGCUAUCUCGAUUAGCAUUGCAUUAUUAAUAUAAUCUACUAUUAUAAAUACCUGACAUGGCGCGAAGGACACAGAUAAACCACAUAUCGUCACAAUCGUGUAUUUAUUACUUCCAAAAGUGUCGAUUUGCACACAAUAUAGAUGAUUAUAGUAUAGGAUUAUAUAGCAUAGCAUAGCGAUGGAAGACUGUUAGUUCCUGGGAGGUCACAUCCCAGAUAGCAUGUAGUAAUCGGCCCGAAAAGAAAGAACAUUCUCUAAUAUGUAUAAUAUCAAAUCUAUUUAUAAGUAAUGUAGCAAUUAAUUAUUUUAUACGCUUUCAUGUAUUUUAAACGCAUUUCACUUGGACGUGAUCAAAACAAUGGAUUAUUUACCAAGAGAUAUUAAUGUUUGAGGUCAUUUCGACAACAUUCUGGUAAGCAUCGACGCACAUUUACAUUUGUAGUAUGUCUACUUAGCAGACGCUUAUAAAGGAAUUUUCUAAAGUUAACUUCACGUGACUGCCGCAAACGCGCGGCUUUCUUGCCUUGUCUGAAAACGUUCAAUAUGCCACUACAGCUAAUAAACGGACAAAAUCUUUUUCAUCUUUGAUCUAAGCAUUGUUAUGUGGAUCUCGGGUGUUUACGCUGCACUAAACUUUGACGAGCAACAAUUCAAUCUGCAAACAAAGAGCUGAGGAAGAGGAUGAUGACGGGCCUGCAUUCACGAGGAGAAAGAUCAGGUUUGUCUGUUUGUUUUUAGUUUCCACGCUCAUAUAUUUAUAUAAAUGCAACUAUAAUAAGCAAAAGUUGUUUUAUUCCAUGUUUCUUCAAGAAGGUGAGUGAAGAGGAUUUGUUUAUACUGUCAUAGAAGAUCAUUGUUUUCAAAUAACCUCAAUUAACUAAAUACAUACGCUAGUUACAUAAGCUAGUUUCACUGAUUUUUUUUUUGUUAUGAUGAGAAUGUGCUGCAAUACUAUGCAUUAGUAUGUCUGAGAUCAUUUUCAGAUGCUAAAUGUAAGCAAAAUUUACUUUUACAGAUGCUUAUGAUUGCUAAAUCAUAGACAACACAAACACAAUCACAGCUUUUGUUGCUACUAGCUGCUUCUUCACUCAGCAUGUUAAGACGCACAUGAAUUAAUGAUUAUUUCUCAUGCCAUAAAUUGCUUUUAAUAUUUCUGUUUUGUAGUAAUCAAGAGAAGUGUUAUCAUCGCUGAAGAAAUGGCAGAUUUUAAUCCUCAGACACCAAGCAGUGCAAGCCCUGAAGAAAUAACACCAUGGACAUCAUCUUCUCUGACUGAACUAGCAAGGAGCUGUUGGAGCCAAUGAGAAAGCUGGUAAGUUCAAGUAAAGUUUGGCACAUUCAGUUAGACCAUGUAACCUUUAUUAAUAGAUACUUGUAUACUAUUUGCUCUUUACAGGUGGAAUGUAAACCUGAGUAAACGGCGCUACUUUAAUGAUAAUUUCUAAGUUUACUGAGCGAUGUAAACUGCUGUCAUCCACGUCACAUCAUUGCUCUAACCGACGUUACCUGAAGAAUCCUUUCAGCGUAGCAGAUAUUCACAAGCGUCUGGAGCGAACUUAAAAUGCCGAACUGGAUGCUUACUGAAGAGUGAGCUUCAACACUUAAGGUUUGUGCAAAGUUACACCAUAUCACUGAAAACAGCACGCAUCAACAAGAUUUUAAAUGUUUAUGAUCUUCAGGUGAGUUAAAAUUUGUCAACACUUACUACCUCCAUCACUGUCUUCACUGUAUAUACAAUAAAGUUGGCUUGCUUGUUUAACAUGUUAAUGUUUGCUUGACUUUGAAGGGUGAUCAUGAUGUCAACAUGAAAUGCACCGUAGCCCUCUGUGCUCUUCAGUGUACCUGUGAGGAGGACCCACAGUUCUUCAAGACUUGAAAUGAGGCGUUGGGAGAGCCAGACAUCACUGAUUCUGUCAUUGUGGUCAAUGAAACGAAAGCACAAGUCCUUCAAGCACUGCAGUUGUUAAAGAAGAUGAUCUUCAGUUUUAUAAUAAAAGACUAAUCUUCAAAAAAAA